UUGCGACAAUAGUAUUUUAUUCAUUUUGAGUCCUAAUCGAUACUUACACCAAACAGAUAUCCGUAUCGAUUCGAUACUUGUUUUGAAUUAUUGAAUGAUAAAAAAAUAAUCUGAUUUUGUUUUAAAUGAUGAGGGUAAAAACAACUUUAAUUAGUUCCUUCUACGAAGAUGCGCCCCACUAUUUUUGGCGAGGGGAUACCGAAGGGUGCGUGAAGUUCAGACCAAGCCUUCAGCCUUAGUCUCGAGUCGACCAUCGACCAUUGGUGUAGUGUACAAGGCUAGUUUAAUGUUUAGUUUACGUUGCUGUGGAUCUAGUCAUCGGGAAAGUUGCUCCAUUUAUUUUUUGUUCAAAAUUUAUUUUUUAUUUUUACUAACAAGAGUUUGAAAUGUCUAGUAAAACUGAACGAACUAUUCUGAAGAGCCAGACUAGAGAAAUAAUUUCAAAAAUAUACGAUUUCAUGAAAAAAGAAGCAAAUAAUGAUUAUGCAGAAAAAUUAACUGAUGCACGCUGGAGGACCGCACAGGCUGUUGGAGUGUCUGAACGCACAGUCACCAGAAUUUUACGCGAAAGAAAGGUGCAUGUGAUGGAGUCGAGUACAAAUGCGAAGCAUACAAAUAACACAAACAUUGAGAAAAAUGAUCAAGUAACUUUGUCGCAUUCAAAAGGAGCUAGUACUAUUAAAUAAUAGUUUUCUGAACUAAGAGACAAUUCAAACUGAUGUUUUAUUUCAAUAAAUAUUAUAUUUUUAUGAUCGUU